rnacentral:tRNA from 1 species
UGGCGGCCCCGCCGGGAUUUGAACCCGGGUCCUACGGCUCCGCAGGCCGCCGCUCUGUCCAUGCUGAGCUACGGGGCC